rnacentral:rRNA from 1 species
GGGUUGUGAGGUUAAGCGACUAAGCGUACACGGUGGAUGCCCUGGCAGUCAGAGGCGAUGAAGGACGUGCUAAUCUGCGAAAAGCGCCGGCGAGGUGAUAUGAACCCUUGACCCGGCGAUGUCCGAAUGGGGAAACCCAGUGCAAUCCGUUGCACUAUCGUUAACUGAAUACAUAGGUUAACGAGGCGAACCGGGGGAACUGAAACAUCUAAGUACCCCGAGGAAAAGAAAUCAACCGAGAUUCCCCCAGUAGCGGCGAGCGAACGGGGAGCAGCCCGGAGUCUGAAUCAGCUUGUGUGUUAGUGGAACGGUCUGGAAAGUCCGACGGUACAGGGUGAUAGUCCCGUACACGAAAAUGCACAUGCUGUGAACUCGAAGAGUAGGGCGGGACACGUGGUAUCCUGUCUGAAUAUGGGGGGACCAUCCUCCAAGGCUAAAUACUCCUGACUGACCGAUAGUGAACCAGUACCGUGAGGGAAAGGCGAAAAGAACCCCGGCGAGGGGAGUGAAAAAGAACCUGAAACCGUGUACGUACAAGCAGUGGGAGCCUCUUUAUGGGGUGACUGCGUACCUUUUGUAUAAUGGGUCAGCGACUUAUAUUCUGUAGCAAGGUUAACCGUAUAGGGGAGCCGAAGGGAAACCGAGUCUUAACUGGGCGUUAAGUUGCAGGGUAUAGACCCGAAACCCGGUGAUCUAGCCAUGGGCAGGUUGAAGGUUGGGUAACACUAACUGGAGGACCGAACCGACUAAUGUUGAAAAAUUAGCGGAUGACCUGUGGCUGGGGGUGAAAGGCCAAUCAAACCGGGAGAUAGCUGGUUCUCCCCGAAAGCUAUUUAGGUAGCGCCUCGUGAAUUCAUCUUCGGGGGUAGAGCACUGUUUCGGCUAGGGGGCCAUCCCGGCUUACCAACCCGAUGCAAACUACGAAUACCGAAGAAUGUUAUCACGGGAGACACACGGCGGGUGCUAACGUCCGUCGUGAAGAGGGAAACAACCCAGACCGCCAGCUAAGGUCCCAAAGUCAUGGUUAAGUGGGAAACGAUGUGGGAAGGCACAGACAGCCAGGAUGUUGGCUUAGAAGCAGCCAUCAUUUAAAGAAAGCGUAAUAGCUCACUGGUCGAGUCGGCCUGCGCGGAAGAUGUAACGGGGCUAAACCAUGCACCGAAGCUGCGGCAGCGACGCUUAUGCGUUGUUGGGUAGGGGAGCGUUCUGUAAGCCGUUGAAGGUGUGCUGUGAGGCAUGCUGGAGGUAUCAGAAGUGCGAAUGCUGACAUAAGUAACGAUAAAGCGGGUGAAAAGCCCGCUCGCCGGAAGACCAAGGGUUCCUGUCCAACGUUAAUCGGGGCAGGGUGAGUCGACCCCUAAGGCGAGGCCGAAAGGCGUAGUCGAUGGGAAACAGGUUAAUAUUCCUGUACUUGGUGUUACUGCGAAGGGGGGACGGAGAAGGCUAUGUCAGCCGGGCGACGGUUGUCCCGGUUUAAGCAUGUAGGCGGAGGUUCCAGGUAAAUCCGGUACCUUAUUAACGCUGAGGUGUGAUGACGAGGCACUACGGUGCUGAAGUGAUAAAUGCCCUGCUUCCAGGAAAAGCCUCUAAGCAUCAGGUAACACGAAAUCGUACCCCAAACCGACACAGGUGGUCAGGUAGAGAAUACCAAGGCGCUUGAGAGAACUCGGGUGAAGGAACUAGGCAAAAUGGUGCCGUAACUUCGGGAGAAGGCACGCUGAUAUGUAGGUGAAGCCCCUGCGGGCGGAGCUGAAAUCAGUCGAAGAUACCAGCUGGCUGCAACUGUUUAUUAAAAACACAGCACUGUGCAAACACGAAAGUGGACGUAUACGGUGUGACGCCUGCCCGGUGCCGGAAGGUUAAUUGAUGGGGUUAGCGGCAACGCGAAGCUCUUGAUCGAAGCCCCGGUAAACGGCGGCCGUAACUAUAACGGUCCUAAGGUAGCGAAAUUCCUUGUCGGGUAAGUUCCGACCUGCACGAAUGGCGUAAUGAUGGCCAGGCUGUCUCCACCCGAGACUCAGUGAAAUUGAACUCGCUGUGAAGAUGCAGUGUACCCGCGGCAAGACGGAAAGACCCCGUGAACCUUUACUAUAGCUUGACACUGAACACUGGUCCUUGAUGUGUAGGAUAGGUGGGAGGCUUUGAAGCGUGGACGCCAGUCUGCGUGGAGCCAACCUUGAAAUACCACCCUUUAAUGGCUGGUGUUCUAACGUGGACCCGUAAUCCGGGUUGCGGACAGUGUCUGGUGGGUAGUUUGACUGGGGCGGUCUCCUCCCAAAGAGUAACGGAGGAGCACGAAGGUUGGCUAAUCCUGGUCGGACAUCAGGAGGUUAGUGCAAUGGCAUAAGCCAGCUUGACUGCGAGCGUGACGGCGCGAGCAGGUGCGAAAGCAGGUCAUAGUGAUCCGGUGGUUCUGAAUGGAAGGGCCAUCGCUCAACGGAUAAAAGGUACUCCGGGGAUAACAGGCUGAUACCGCCCAAGAGUUCAUAUCGACGGCGGUGUUUGGCACCUCGAUGUCGGCUCAUCACAUCCUGGGGCUGAAGUAGGUCCCAAGGGUAUGGCUGUUCGCCAUUUAAAGUGGUACGCGAGCUGGGUUUAGAACGUCGUGAGACAGUUCGGUCCCUAUCUGCCGUGGGCGCUGGAGAAUUGAGGGGGGCUGCUCCUAGUACGAGAGGACCGGAGUGGACGCAUCACUGGUGUUCGGGUUGUCAUGCCAAUGGCAUUGCCCGGUAGCUAAAUGCGGAAGAGAUAAGUGCUGAAAGCAUCUAAGCACGAAACUUGCCCCGAGAUGAGUUCUCCCUGAGACUUUAAGUCUCCUGAAGGAACGUUGAAGACGACGACGUUGAUAGGUCGGGUGUGUAAGCGCAGCGAUGCGUUGAGCUAACCGAUACUAAUGAACCGUGAGGCUUAACCUUACAACGCCGAAGGUGUUU